AUACGGAGGAUGCAAGCGUUAUCCGGAUUUAUUGGGUUUAAAGGGUGCGUAGGCGGUUUGCUAAGCGGGAGGUGAAAUGCCGGCGCUCAACGUCGGAAGUGCCUCCCGAACUGGUGGACUUGAAUGACUCUGCCGUGGGAGGAAUGUGUAGUGUAGCGGUGAAAUGCUUAGAGAUUACACAGAACACCGAUUGCGAAGGCGUCUCACGAAGGGUUGAUUGACGCUGAGGCACGAAAGCGUGGGGAUCAAACAGGAUUAGAUACCCUGGUAGUCCACGCAGUAAACGAUGAUGGCUAACCGCUGGAUCCAUCGGUUCAGUGGCCAAGCGAAAGCGAUAAGCCAUCCACCUGGGGAGUACGACCGCAAGGUUGAAACUCAAAUGAAUUGACGGGG
rnacentral:rRNA from 1 species